rnacentral:rRNA from 1 species
CAGUAGCCGCGGUAAUACGUAGGUGGCAAGCGUUGUCCGGAAUUAUUGGGCGUAAAGGGCUCGCAGGCGGUUUCUUAAGUCUGAUGUGAAAGCCCCCGGCUCAACCGGGGAGGGUCAUUGGAAACUGGGAAACUUGAGUGCAGAAGAGGAGAGUGGAAUUCCACGUGUAGCGGUGAAAUGCGUAGAGAUGUGGAGGAACACCAGUGGCGAAGGCGACUCUCUGGUCCAUUACUGACGCUGAGGUGCGAAAGCGUGGGGAGCAAACAGGAUUAGAUACCCCGGUAGUCCCUGUCUCUUAUAC